rnacentral:lncRNA from 10 species
GGGGGGGGAGACAAGAUGGCGGCUGCGGGAGGGGGUCCUCGCUUCUCAGCUCCCCCGCUCACCCGCCUUCUCCUUCCCUGCCGCCGCCCUCGCUCCAGGAGAGAGCUUUCGCACCGCCCCCGCCCUGCUCGGUGCCUGCACGACUCCCAGAAAGUCGCGUCUCCCCUAACCCCCAUGCCCAGGACCUGAGGACAAAGGUCUAGCGAUUGUCCAUCCCCUCCCCCAGUGAGGACAGCCGGGAAAGACCUGCCUUUGUUGUGUACAGGUGGUAUCUCACUGUGUUAUCCAGACUGGACUCAAAUUUCUGGGCUCCAAUGGUCCUCUCACCUCAGCCUCCCAAGUAGUCAGGACUACAGAACUCCAUGGCAAUGUUUUGAGGAUUAAAGAGGAGAGUGAUGACUAUCCAAACGUCAGAGAACGCAACUAUGAGACUAGAGACACUGGAAAACUAAAAAAGUAACGGGCCUUUGCUGACUCAGGGAGAUGAUUUCCCAAGAGGGAAGAAAACUGGAACCUGAGAAAUAAGUGAUUUAGUAAUGUGGCUGCUAAAAUACGGAAAAACUAGAAUGAAUGGCUUACACAUUUUUGAAAUGAAGUUAGAAGAGGGUUAUACUGUGAAGAAGAAUGAAAAAGCCAAACAUUUCAUUCAGGUAAGCAUAUCACAUAGGAGAAACUCUAGGUGACUUUGGUUUGGCAGUGAGUUUUUAGAUACAACACCAAAGCACAAUCCAUAAAAGAAAAGAAAGAUAGAUAAGUUGGACUUCAUUAAAAUGAAAAACUUCUGCUCUGCAAAGACACUGUUAAGAGAAUGAAAACACAUGCCACAGACUAUGAGAAAAUAUGUGCAAAACACCUAUCUGAUAAAGGAAGUAUGUCUGAAAUACAAAGAACUCUUAAAACUCAGCAAUAAGAAAAUGAACAACCUGAUUAAAAUAUGGGCAAAAGAGCUGAAUGGAAACCUCCCCAAAGAAUAUAUGUAGAUGGCAAAUGAACAUAUGAAAAGAUUCUCAACACAAUAUGUCACUAGAAAAUUGCAAAUUAAAACAAGAUACCAGUAUACACUUAUUAGAUGAGCUAAAAUCCAAAAUACUAAGAACAGCAAAUGCUGAUGAGGUUGUGGAGCAACAGGAGCUCUCAUUCAUUGCUGGUGGGAAUGCAAAAUGAUGCAGCCACUUGGAAGACAGUCUGGCAGUUUCUUAAAGAUUAAACAAAGGCUUACCAGACACUCCA